GGCUGUGUGGCUCAGUUGGUAGAGUGUUUGCCUAACAUGCACAAGGCCUGGGUUCAAUCUCCAGUACUGCAA
rfam:Mesocricetus auratus contig038789, whole genome shotgun sequence.